AUUGAACGCUGGCGGCAUGCCUUACACAUGCAAGUCGAACGGCAGCACGGGAGCAAUCCUGGUGGCGAGUGGCGAACGGGUGAGUAAUAUAUCGGAACGUGCCCAGUCGUGGGGGAUAACGCAGCGAAAGUUGUGCUAAUACCGCAUACGAUCUAUGGAUGAAAGCGGGGGAUCGCAAGACCUCGCGCGAUUGGAGCGGCCGAUGUCAGAUUAGGUAGUUGGUGGGGUAAAGGCUCACCAAGCCAACGAUCUGUAGCUGGUCUGAGAGGACGACCAGCCACACUGGAACUGAGACACGGUCCAGACUCCUACGGGAGGCAGCAGUGGGGAAUUUUGGACAAUGGGCGCAAGCCUGAUCCAGCCAUUCCGCGUGCAGGAUGAAGGCCUUCGGGUUGUAACUAGCUUUUGUACGGUAACGAAACGGACGAGCUCUAAUACAGUUUGUCUAAUGACGGUACCGUAACGAAUAAGACACCGGCUAACUACGUAGCCACG
rnacentral:rRNA from 1 species